CAUUCACGGAGAGUUUGAUCCUGGCUCAGGACGAACGCUGGCGGCGUGCUUAACACAUGCAAGUCGAACGAUGAAGCCUUUCGGGGUGGAUUAGUGGCGAACGGGUGAGUAACACGUGGGCAAUCUGCCCUUCACUCUGGGACAAGCCCUGGAAACGGGGUCUAAUACCGGAUAACACUCUGUCCCGCAUGGGACGGGGUUAAAAGCUCCGGCGGUGAAGGAUGAGCCCGCGGCCUAUCAGCUUGUUGGUGGGGUGAUGGCCUACCAAGGCGACGACGGGUAGCCGGCCUGAGAGGGCGACCGGCCACACUGGGACUGAGACACGGCCCAGACUCCUACGGGAGGCAGCAGUGGGGAAUAUUGCACAAUGGGCGAAAGCCUGAUGCAGCGACGCCGCGUGAGGGAUGACGGCCUUCGGGUUGUAAACCUCUUUCAGCAGGGAAGAAGCGAAAGUGACGGUACCUGCAGAAGAAGCGCCGGCUAACUACGUGCCAGCAGCCGCGGUAAUACGUAGGGCGCAAGCGUUGUCCGGAAUUAUUGGGCGUAAAGAGCUCGUAGGCGGCUUGUCACGUCGGAUGUGAAAGCCCGGGGCUUAACCCCGGGUCUGCAUUCGAUACGG
rnacentral:rRNA from 1 species